rnacentral:lncRNA from 1 species
UCAUAGCCCCCUACAUCAUAGGGUUGUUGUAAAGAUCAAAUGAGAUAUAUUCCCUCCCUCCUUCCUUCUUUCCUCCCUCCUUCCUUCCUUCCUUCCUUCCUUCCUUCCUUCCUUCCUUCCUUCCUUCCUUCCUUCCUUCCUCUAUCCUUUUCUCCCUCCCUUCCUCCCUUCCUUCUUUCCUUCCUUCUUUCUUCCUUCCUUCAUUCCCUCUCUGUCAUUCUAGAUCUAGUGCUUAGCACAUAGAAGGUGCUUUAAAAUGUCUAUUGCUUGAUGGAAAUUCUCUUCUGAUCUGGGAUGGCCAGAGAAGGCUAAACAAAAAAUGUGGAACUUGAGGGUGAGCCUUGAAGGAUAGUUAAGCUUUGGACAGAAAGAAAGGAAACAAGCAUUAAGUGCCUGCUAUGUUCUAGGCAUUGUGGUAAGUGCUUUAUAAUAUUUCCUCGUUUAAUCCUUACAAAGACACUGAUCUCCAUUUAUUAUUAAUAUUAUUAUGACGAUCUCCAUUUUAAAGUCAAGGAAACUGAGGUAAAUUGAGGUUAAACGACUUGCCCUGAGUCACACAGAGAGUCAAUGUCUGAGGCGAGAUUUGAGCUCAGAUCUUUUUGACUUUAGGCUCAGCGCUCUGGUCAAUUUGCCACCUGGGCAUUCCAUUGGAAGGAAACACGAAAAGCAAAGUCAUAGAAAUGGGAAUAUGUCAGGACUAGUGAUGUGGCCUGGAAGGCUGAAUCUAGGUGGAGAGAGAAGGUAGAGAAGCAAUCUGGAAAGGGCAGAGUAUAUUUCACCUGGUUUUGGAUGCCAUCUAAACAUUGGGACAGUUAUUGGUAUUCAUGCUGGAGACAGAAAGGGUCUACCCAGAGAUAAAGUUACUGAGCAGUCUUUGGGCAUUUUCUUUUCUUUUAAUUGGCACUGAAAGGCCAGAGCAGGGCCUCUGCUAACAACGAGCACUGGGCCUUUUGCCUUGAACUGAGGAACUCUGGAAUAAAUUAGUUGAUUGUAUAAUGCUUUUCA